CGUUCAGAUCGCCAGAUGCGACUGUGCGCCUCGCCGGGUGUGUUCUCCACAGCCCCCUUCCUCCCUCGGCCGCCAGGGCUGACAUCACCCGCAGCGUUUUGUGGCUUGGCGAGUCCUGAUCCUGGCUGCGGUGGCAGCUGCAUUGGGCUGGGUCCCUUGGAUGGAAGCGAGGACUGCAGUGCCCAUGGUGCAGUAGGUGGCGCUCUUCUGUCUCAGAGCCUGCUGCUGCUGCUGCUGCAGCCUGUGCUGUGGAGCCUUUUGCCACUAGAGGCUGAUCAACUGACCGAAGAACAGAUUGCUGAAUUCAAGGAAGCUUUCUCCCUAUUUGAUAAGGAUGGUGAUGGCACCAUCACAACAAAGGAACUUGGAACUGUCAUGAGGUCACUGGGUCAGAACCCAACAGAAGCUGAAUUGCAGGAUAUGAUCAACGAAGUGGACGCUGAUGGUAAUGGCACCAUUGACUUCCCAGAAUUUUUGACUAUGAUGGCUAGAAAAAUGAAAGAUACGGAUAAGUGAAGAAGAAAUUCGUGAGGCAUUCCGAGUCUUUGACAAGGAUGGCAAUGGUUACAUCAGUGCGGCAGAACUACGUCACGUCAUGACAAACUUA